rnacentral:lncRNA from 1 species
AAAAUACAAAUACACACUCACAUGAGUAUACAACACAAUCACUGAAUCAGACAAUCAGUAACUCACUUACUCACAGAAUACAGAAUCUACAGAUCACACAUCACAGAGUCACAGACUUCACAGUGUUACACUUACACAGACUCACGGAUUUGCAUUUUACAGUAAUUCACAAAGUAUUCACCUCACCGCAACAAAAUAAUUCAAUAAUUCACAAGAACAGAACACGAGCAAAGCAAAGUCUCAUUUUGGCUCACAAACCCUCACUCACUCAAACAGUCAAACACUCACCAGUCACUGCCUCACGAUAUCACAAACCCUCACUGUCACACACAAAUCACUGAAAGUCUGAAACCAGCACUCAAGCCGUUAAGCACAAGCAGUCAACCCACACCCAUUCCCGCCUCACGACCUCCGUCGCUCACCACACGCAGCAAAUACACACUCACAGUUCACGGAGCUACCUUCAAUCGGCCACCACACGCAGCAACCGCUGCCGAGAACGACCCGAACUGAAGCCGAAGCUGAUUCGCGAAGAUCGUGACCCGAUCUACAGAUCUGCUGCAACCAAGCGCCGGAUCCAAGCCUUGAAUCCUCCACUCCACCAUCACUCAGUCCGAUUGAAGAUCCACCCGGCAAGCUGCCUCCGAUCCGCUCGAGUCUCCACCAUUGGCAUUCACGAGUCACGCCUGUUGAGUGUUGACAUCCGGCCACCACACCCUCACGGUCACGCCUCACGGUCACGGGUCACGGCUCCAGUCUCAAAACUCAAAAGGUCUCUUCACUCUUUGUUUUGGAAGUUGAAAGUUUGGAUUUGGAACUUGAACUCUUGAAGCCCGAACCGAAUCAGCAAAUCCGGCUUUUG